CCUGGCCCAAGGACACCAAGGCGGUUGCCUUGGGCCUCAAAUUUUAGAGGGCCUAAUGAGGCUCACAGAGGAUGGAAAAAAACUGGUCGCCUUGGGCCUCAAAUUUUGAGGCCCAAAUUUUGAGGCCUAUAGGGUAUGGAAAAAAACAUAAAAAUAAAUGAAGUUAGGGCAAGUUUCAGACGACACAAACAAUGUCACAAUCUUCUUCGACACUCCGCAGGGCGCAGCCUCCGCUAUCGCCUCAGGUGACAAGGACACUCUUCUUAGGAUCUCGUGAGGUUAUUUGCCUUGAACUUGAAUCAAAUCAUUGCAUAUUGAGGUAA